rnacentral:tRNA from 1 species
GAAGGUAUAGCUCAGUGGUGGAGAGCAUGCCUACCAUGCACGAGGUCCUGGAUCAAUCCCAGUGUCUCCA